GAACAAACCUCUGAACUGAUGAAGCUGUGGAGAAAAGUGAACUUGACCGAGAGCCUCCAGGACAAACUAAACACAGAGUUGGUGAGCAGACUGAGAGGUUUUGAGGAACAUCUGAAAGGUCAGAAGACAAAAAUCUCAGCGUGUGAAGCUGAGCUGGCAGCUGUGGUGGUCAGACUGAACGUGACUGAGGAGCAGCUGGAUGAGCUGAGGAG